UACAGAGGGGGCAAGCGUUGUUCGGAAUUACUGGGCGUAAAGGGCGCGUAGGCGGCCCGCUAAGUCGAACGUGAAAUCCCCAGGCUUAACCUGGGAACUGCGUCCGAUACUGGCAGGCUUGAAUCCGGGAGAGGGAUGUGGAAUUCCAGGUGUAGCGGUGAAAUGCGUAGAUAUCUGGAGGAACACCGGUGGCGAAGGCGGCAUCCUGGACCGGCAUUGACGCUGAGGAGCGAAAGCGUGGGGAGCGAACAGG
rnacentral:rRNA from 1 species